rnacentral:rRNA from 1 species
CCUACGGGAGGCAGCAGUGGGGAAUAUUGCACAAUGGGGGAAACCCUGAUGCAGCGACGCCGCGUGAGUGAAGAAGUAAUUCGUUAUGUAAAGCUCUAUCAGCAGGGACGAAAAUGACGGUACCUUAGUAAGAAGCCCCGGCCAACUACGUGCCAGCAGCCGCGGUUAUACGUAGGGGGCAAGCGUUAUCCGGAUUUACUGGGUGUAAAGGGAGCGUAGACGGCAGUGCAAGUCUGGAGUGAAAGGCGGGGGCUCAACCCCCGGACUGCUUUGGAAACUGUACGGCUGGAGUGCAGGAGAGGUAAGUGGAAUUCCUAGUGUAGCGGUGAAAUGCGUAGAUAUUAGGAGGAACACCAGUGGCGAAGGCGGCUUACUGGACUGUAACUGACGUUGAGGCUCGAAAGCGUGGGGAGCAAACAGGAUUAGAUACCCCAGUAGUC